rnacentral:rRNA from 1 species
GACAGAGGGUGCAAACGUUGUUCGGAAUUACUGGGCGUAAAGCGCGUGUAGGCGGUCAUCUAAGUCGGGCGUGAAAUCCCACGGCUCAACCGUGGAAGUGCACUCGAAACUGGAUGGCUAGAGUCCUGGAGAGGAAGGUGGAAUGCUUGGUGUAGAGGUGAAAUUCGUAGAUAUCAAGCGGAACACCGGUGGCGAAGGCGGCCUUCUGGACAGUGACUGACGCUGAGAUGCGAAAAGCGUGGGGGAGCAAACAG